rnacentral:rRNA from 1 species
GACGUAGGGCGCGAGCGUUGUCCGGAUUUACUGGGCGUAAAGAGCGCGUAGGCGGUCGUUCAAGUCGAGUGUGAAAGCCCCCGGCUCAACUGGGGAGGGUCACUCGAUACUGAUCGACUUGAAGGCAGGAGAGGGAAGCGGAAUUCCCGGUGUAGUGGUGAAAUGCGUAGAUAUCGGGAGGAACACCAGUGGCGAAGGCGGCUUCCUGGCCUGUUCUUGACGCUGAGGCGCGAAAGCUAGGGGAGCAAACGGG